rnacentral:rRNA from 1 species
AUUCGGAAUGCAACGCGAAGAACCUUACCUGGUCUUGACAUCCACAGAACUUUCCAGAGAUGGAUUGGUGCCUUCGGGAACUGUGAGACAGGUGCUGCAUGGCUGUCGUCAGCUCGUGUUGUGAAAUGUUGGGU